AUUGAACGCUGGCGGCAUGCCUUACACAUGCAAGUCGAACGGCAGCGGGGGAGAAGCUUGCUUUUCCUGCCGGCGAGUGGCGAACGGGUGAGUAAUACAUCGGAACGUGCCCUGUAGUGGGGGAUAACUAGUCGAAAGAUUAGCUAAUACCGCAUACGACCUGAGGGUGAAAGUGGGGGACCGCAAGGCCUCAUGCUAUAGGAGCGGCCGAUGUCUGAUUAGCUAGUUGGUGGGGUAAAGGCCUACCAAGGCGACGAUCAGUAGCUGGUCUGAGAGGACGAUCAGCCACACUGGGACUGAGACACGGCCCAGACUCCUACGGGAGGCAGCAGUGGGGAAUUUUGGACAAUAGGCGAAAGCCUGAUCCAGCAAUGCCGCGUGUGUGAAGAAGGCCUUCGGGUUGUAAAGCACUUUUGUCCUGAAAGAAAUGGCUCUGGUUAAUACCUGGGGUCGAUGACGGUACCGGAAGAAUAAGGACCGGCUAACUACGUGCCAGCCGCCGCGGUAA
rnacentral:rRNA from 1 species